rnacentral:rRNA from 1 species
AAUGAACGCUGGCGGCGCGCCUAAUACAUGCAAGUCGAGCGAGAAGACGUAGCAAUACGUUUGUAAAGCGGCGAACGGGUGAGGAAUACAUGGGUAACCUACCCUCGAGUGGGGAAUAACUAGCCGAAAGGUUAGCUAAUACCGCGUACGCUUCUUGGACUUCGGUUCAGGGAGGAAAGCGAUGCCGAGGGUAUCGCGCUCUUGGAUGGGCUCAUGUCCUAUCAGCUUGNGGUGAGGUAACGGCUCACCAAGGCUUCGACGGGUAGCCGGUCUGAGAGGACGAUCAGCCACACUGGCACUGCGACACGGGCCAGACUCCUACGGGAGGCAGCAGUAAGGAAUAUUGCGCAAUGGGCGAAAGCCUGACGCAGCGACGCCGCGUGGGGGAGUGAAGGUCUUCGGAUUGUAAAGCCCUUUUGUCCGGGAAGAAUCGCAAGGGUGAAUAGCCUUUGUGGCUGACGGUACCGGGAGAAGAAGCACCGGCUAACUUCGUGCCAGCCGCCG